UGAUGGCAAUGAUGAUUUUUGCAUUUAUUGUUCACCUGACAAUAUAUGAAGGUGUUCAGUCACUACCUCAUCUGAUGCCAUCU
ensembl:snoRNA